rnacentral:rRNA from 1 species
UACGUAGGGGGCUAGCGUUGUCCGGAUUUAUUGGGCGUAAAGAGCGUGUAGGCGGCCAAGUAGGUCCGUUGUGAAAACUGGAGGCUUAACCUCCAGCUGUCGAUGGAAACCAUUUGGCUAGAGUCCGGAAGAGGAGAGUGGAAUUCCUGGUGUAGCGGUGAAAUGCGCAGAUAUCGGGAAGAACACCCGUGGCGAAGGCGGUUCUCUGGGCUGACCUUGACGCUGAGGCGCGAAGGCGUGGGGAGCGAACGGG